GUAGAUAAGGGAAGUCGGCAAAACAGAUCCGUAACUUCGGGAUAAGGAUUGGCUCUAAGGGUUGGGUAUGUUGGGCCUUUGAUUGAAAGCAUCGGAGCAGGAUUGCUGCAGCGGGCAACUGCCGUGGCGAUCCAGCACCUGUUGUGGGAAGUCCUUGGCAGGCUUCGGCCGUCUGGCAUACAAUUAACAACCAACUUAGAACUGGUACGGACAAGGGGAAUCUGACUGUCUAAUUAAAACAUAGCAUUGCGAUGGCCAGAAAGUGGUGUUGACGCAAUGUGAUUUCU
rnacentral:rRNA from 1 species